rnacentral:rRNA from 1 species
GUACGAGCGCACCCCUAUCCUUAGUUACCAUCGAGUAAAGUCGGGGACUCUAGGGAGACUGCCGGUGAUAAACCGGAGGAAGGCGGGGAUGAGGUCAAGUCAUCAUGGCCCUUAUGGGGAGGGCCACACACGUGCUACAAUGGCCGGUACAGAGGGCAGCGAAGCCGCGAGGUGGAGCGAAUCUCAGAAAACCGGUCGUAGUCCGGAUUGCAGUCUGCAACUCGACUGCAUGAAGCCGGAAUCGCUAGUAAUCGCGGAUCAGAACGCCGCGGUGAAUACGUUCCCGGGCCUUGUACACACCGCCCGUCACACCAUGGGAGUGGGCUGUACCAGAAGUAGGUAGUCUAACCUUCGGGAGGACGCUUACCACGGUGUGGUUCAUGACUGGGGUGAAGUCGUAACAAGGUAGCCCUAGGGGAACCUGGGGCUGGAUCA